GACGAACGCUGGCGGCGUGCUUAACACAUGCAAGUCGAGCGGGAACCUCGGCAGGGGUAACCCUUCCGAGGGGAGAGCGGCGAACGGGUGAGUAACACGUGGGCAACCUGCCCCGGACACCGGGAUAACCCAGGGAAACCUGAGCUAAUACCGGAUACUCCGGCACGAUCGCAUGGUCGUGCCGGGAAAGCUCCGACGGUCCGGGAUGGGCCCGCGGCCUAUCAGCUUGUUGGUGAGGUAACGGCCCACCAAGGCGACGACGAGUAGCUGGUCUGAGAGGACGGCCAGCCACACUGGGACUGAGACACGGCCCAGACUCCUACGGGAGGCAGCAGUGGGGAAUCUUGCGCUAAUGCGCGAAAGCGUGACGCAGCGACGCCGCGUGGGGA
rnacentral:rRNA from 1 species